GAUGAACGCUGGCGGCGUGCUUAACACAUGCAAGUCGAACGAGAAGUGGAGACGGAAACCUUCGGGCGGAAGACUUUACUUCGAGUGGCGGACGGGUGAGUAACGCGUGGGUAACCUGCCUCAUACAGGGGGAUAACAGUUGGAAACGACUGUUAAUACCGCAUAAGACCACAGCACCGCAUGGUGCGGGGGUAAAAACUCCGGUGGUAUGAGAUGGACCCGCGUUCGAUUAGCCAGUUGGCGGGGUAACGGCCCACCAAAGCGACGAUCGAUAGCCGAUCUGAGAGGAUGACCGGCCACAUUGGGACUGAGACACGGCCCAAACUCCUACGGGAGGCAGCAGUGGGGAAUAUUGCACAAUGGGGGAAACCCUGAUGCAGCGACGCCGCGUGAGUGAAGAAGUAUUUCGGUAUGUAAAGCUCUAUCAGCAGGGAAGAAAAUAACAGUACCUGAGUAAGAAGCCCCGGCUAACUACGUG
rnacentral:rRNA from 1 species